ACAUGGACCUUUUGGUCACAAGUCCCUUGUGUGUCCCCAGGCUCCUGUCUGAAAUAUGUUUGUGAACCCGGGGCCAUGGGGCAUACAGCUUUCAAGGGUGAGGCCCUUGGUUUGAGUCCCAGCACUGUGUGAAAACAAAAAAAGUCAAAAGAAGUCGACAAAAACAAGGUUGGUCCCUGGGAAUAUCAUCUAUGAAUCCCUACUCAGAAGUGCAUGGAUAACUCCACACCCCAGUGAAAUAAAGACAAAAGCAAAAAGCUUGAAUAUUCAAACUUGCAGUCAGCACCUUGGUGAUGGAUCCUUUCAAACUCCAAAUCUGCCCAGACCCACAAGCGCCAGCCUUAGCCUGCUGUCUCCAUGUUUACACCAUAGUACCCAAGAUGGCGGACACCGUGGACUGUGAGUCAGAACAGAGA